rnacentral:rRNA from 1 species
UAAUUUUAGGUGAGCCCUGCCCAGUGAAAUUAUUUGAACGGCCGCAGUACUCUGACUGUGCUAAGGUAGCAUAAUAAUUUGUCUUUUAAUUGAAGACUGGAAUAAACGGGUAAAUGAUUAGAAACUGUCUUUAAUAGAUUUUAUAGAACUUACUUUAAAAGGUGAAAAUUCCUUUAAUAGCAUAUAUUAGACGAGAAGACCCUUAGAGUUUUUAUUAUUNAAUAUUAAUUCAUUUUUGUUGGGGCGACAAGGAAACAUANNNAAAACUUUCCUUUUAUUAAUUUAUAUUAAUCUAAUAUUAUUAUUUUAAAACAAACUACCUAAGGGAUAACAGCAUAAUUUAUUAAUAAGAUUAUGACCUCGAUGUUGGACUAAGGCCUUAUAAGUUAACCGCUUAAUAAGAUAGUUCUGUUCAAAC